rnacentral:rRNA from 1 species
GAUGAACGCUGGCGGCGUGCCUAAUACAUGCAAGUCGAGCGAACGGACGAGAAGCUUGCGUCUCUGAGGUUAGCGGCGGACGGGUGAGUAACACGUGGAUAACCUACUUAUAAGACUGGGAUAACUUCGGGAAACCGUAGCUAAUACCGGAGAAUACUUUGAACCGCAUGGUUCAAAAGUGAAAGACGGUCUUGCUGUCACUUAUAGAUGGAUCCGCGCUGCAUUAGCUAGUUGGUAAGGUAACGGCUUACCAAGGCAACGAUGCAUAGCCGACCUGAGAGGGUGAUCGGCCACACUGGAACUGAGACACGGUCCAGACUCCUACGGGAGGCAGCAGUAGGGAAUCUUCCGCAAUGGGCGAAAGCCUGACGGAGCAACGCCGCGUGAGUGAUGAAGGUCUUCGGAUCGUAAAACUCUGUUAUUAGGGAAGAACAUGUGUGUAAGUAACUGUGCACAUCUUGACGGUACCUAAUCAGAAAGCCACGGCUAACUACGUG